GCAUAUCAAUAAGCGGAGGAAAAGAAACUGACAAGGAUUCCCCUAGUAACGGCGAGUGAAGCGGGAAGAGCUCAAAUUUGAAAUCUGGUAGCCUUCGGUUGCCCGAGUUGUAAUCUAGAGAAGUGUUUUCCGUGCCGGCCCAUGUACAAGUCCCUUGGAACAGGGCGUCAUAGAGGGUGAGAAUCCCGUCCUUGACAUGGACCCCCGGUGCUUUGUGAUACACUUUCAACGAGUCGAGUUGUUUGGGAAUGCAGCUCAAAAUGGGUGGUGAAUUCCAUCUAAAGCUAAAUAUUGGCGAGAGACCGAUAGCGAACAAGUACCGUGAGGGAAAGAUGAAAAGCACUUUGGAAAGAGAGUUAAACAGUACGUGAAAUUGUUGAAAGGGAAACGAUUGAAGUCAGUCAUGCUCUUAGGAUUCAGCCGUUCUGCGGUGUAUUUCCUUUGAGUGGGGUCAACAUCAGUUUUGAUCGAUGGAUAAAGGCACGAGGAAGGUAGCACUCUCGGGUGAACUUAUAGCCUCGCGUCAUAUACAUUGAUUGGGACUGAGGAACGCAGCAUGCCUUUAUGGCCGGGAUUCGUCCACGUACAUGCUUAGGAUGUUGACAUAAUGGCUUUAAACGACCCGUCUUGAAACACGGACC
rnacentral:rRNA from 1 species